GGCCAGACUCCUACGGGAGGCAGCAGUGGGGAAUAUUGCACAAUGGGGGAAACCCUGAUGCAGCGACGCCGCGUGAGUGAAGAAGUCAUUCGUUAUGUAAAGCUCUAUCAGCAGGGAAGAAAAUGACGGUACCUGAGUAAGAAGCCCCGGCUAACUACGUGCCAGCAGCCGCGGUAAUACGUAGGGGGCAAGCGUUAUCCGGAUUUACUGGGUGUAAAGGGAGCGUAGACGGCAGUGCAAGUCUGGAGUGAAAGGCGGGGGCUCAACCCCCGGACUGCUCUGGAAACUGUGCGGCUGGAGUGCAGGAGAGGUAAGUGGAAUUCCUGGUGUAGCGGUGAAAUGCGUAGAUAUUAGGAGGAACACCAGUGGCGAAGGCGGCCUGCUGGACAUUAACUGACGCUGAGGCGCGAAAGCGUGGGGAGCAAACAGGAUUAGAUACCCGAGUA
rnacentral:rRNA from 1 species